UCUCGGCAACGGAUAUCUCGGCUCUGAUGAAGAACGCAGCAAAAUGCGAUACCUGGUGUGAAUUGCAGAAUCCCGCGAACCAUCGAGUCUUUGAACGCAAGUUGCGCCCGAGGCCAUUCGGCCGAGGGCACGCCUGCCUGGGCGUCACGCAAAACACGCUC
rnacentral:rRNA from 1 species